AUGGCGCACCCAGAUCACGCCACAGCUGAGAGGGGCUGGAUUCUUCGAUACGUUGAUGGAAGCACGGCGGAGCCGGCCGAGUUCGUUGUCAGCAAGGACAAGGAUGGAAAGGAGGAAGCCAUCCCCAAUCCCCUCCAUGUCGUCUGGUUCCGAGAGGACCAGCAGGUACUUGGGUAUCUUCUAAAUAAUCUGUCAAAGGAAGUGCUAGUGCAGGUGACUUCCAUCGCGCAUGCACGAGAGCUCUGGACAGCGUUGGCGAGCAUGUUCUCAUCGACGUCGCUGUCCCGCGUCAACAACAUCCGAGCUGCCCUCACCAACGCGCAGAAGGGGACGCAACCGGUGGCUACCUUCUUCGCGUACAUGCGGGGACUCGCCGACGAGCUCGCCGCGGCUGGAAAGCCGUUGAAGGAUGAUGAGCUCAUCUUGUAUAUCCUCAACGCGCUUGACAUGGAGUACCAGCCACUUCCGCCCUCGACGCCAGGACCACUCCGGUCACCCUCGACGAGUUGUUCGGACAGAUGA
rnacentral:rRNA from 1 species